rnacentral:tRNA from 1 species
GGAGAGGUGGCCGAGUGGCUGAAGGCGGCCGUUUGCUAAAACGUUAUACAGUCUAAGGCCGUGUCAAGGGUUCGAAUCCCUUCCUCUCCGCCA